rnacentral:lncRNA from 1 species
CAGGUUUUGGUUUUGUUUGCUUUUCAGCGGCCACUACGGGUGUAGUUCAGAGUCUUGCACGAAGCAGGCUUACUGUAUUUAUGCAGACAGUCCUAAAACCGAUGCUUUACCUUGAGGGUAAUAGGUAUUUCCUUUGAGUUGACUGUCGGAGGCAUUUUCCCACUCAUGUGAAGGAAGCUCAGUAUCUGUAAAACAGUUACUAAUAUUUUUCAGUCCGGAGCCUGCCCUUUUAUAUAGCAUUGAAUGGCUGGAAUUUGGCUGAACUAGUUUAGAUUAUUUGAGAGAGAGAGAGCGAGCAAGAGAGCGAGCAUGUGUGCACAAGCAGGAGGGUCAGAAGAAGAGGAAGAGAACCUGAAGCAAACUCUGUGGUGAACCCCAUGGCCUGGUGUUGAGCCGGCAGCAUCACAAGAUAACGAAGUCUCAAGAGAUAACAAGUGCUGGAGAGGACGUGGAGAAAAGGGAACCCAGGUGCACAGUUGGUGGGAAUGUAAAUUGUGCCGCCACCGUGGAAAACAGUACGGAGGUUCCUCAAAAAACUAAAACUAAGACUAGCAUACGGUCCACGAAUUCCACUUGUGGCUAAUUAUGCAAAGGAAACCAAAACACUAGCUGGGAAAGGUAUCUGCACCCCACAUUCACUGUGGUGUUACUUACCAUAGCCAAGCUAUGGAAACAACUUGAGUCCAUCAAUGGACAAAUAGAUAAAGAACUGGUGAUACACACACACACACACACACACACACACACACAAGACAGAAAUCCUGCCAUUUGUGACAACAUGGAUGGACAUGGAGGGCAUUAUGCCAAGUGAAGUAAGUCAGAGAAAGACAAAUCCUGCAUAAUCUCACUUAGACAUGGAUUCUUAAGAAAAAAGAGAAAAGAAAAAGAGUUCAUAGAUACAGAGAAUUGCCAGAAGUGGGGGGGGCAGUGGGCAAAAUGAGUGAAGGGGGUCAAAAAGGUACAAAUUUCCAGUUAUCGAAUAACUAAGUCUUGGGGAUGUAAUGGACAGCAUGGCGACCAUAGUUAAUAAUACUGUGUUGCAUAUUUGAAAGUCAGUAAGAGAUCUUAAAAGUUCUCAAGAAAAAAUAUUUGUAACCAUGUAAGGUAACAGAUGUUAACUAGACUUAUCCUAGUGUGCAUUUCAUAGGACCAGCGCCCACUGGCGUAGGCAAGAAAGAAACCUUAGUGGGUUUUUAAAAAAGAUUUUACUUAUUCAUCUGAGAAAGAGAGAGCGAGCACGAGCAGGGGAAGAAGCAGAGGGAAAGGGAGAAGCAGGCUUCCCACUG